GUUGUCAACAGGUUUGGAAUAACAUGUUGACAACUUGUAACAACCUUGUCGAAAUUAUCAGACAUGUUGCAAGGUUGUUCUGACAAGUUCGUUACAUGCUUGAUAUAACAAAAUUGUUAUACAACCUUGUGUUGACAACCUUGUAACAUCCUUGUUAUAUCAUGGCUGUAACAAACUUGUUAGCACAGUCUUGUAACAAGGCGGAUAACGCCAUCAAGCUUGUUACAAGUUGUUAACAGCUUGUUUCAAACUUGUAACAAC
rnacentral:miRNA from 1 species